AUUGAACGCUGGCGGCAUGCCUUACACAUGCAAGUCGAACGGUAACGGGCCUUCGGGUGCCGACGAGUGGCGAACGGGUGAGUAAUACAUCGGAACGUGCCCGAUCGUGGGGGAUAACGAGGCGAAAGCUUUGCUAAUACCUCAUACGAUCUACGGAUGAAAGCAGGGGACCGCAAGGCCUUGCGCGGACGGAGCGGCCGAUGGCAGAUUAGGUAGUUGGUGGGAUAAAAGCUUACCAAGCCGACGAUCUGUAGCUGGUCUGAGAGGAUGAUCAGCCACACUGGGACUGAGACACGGCCCAGACUCCUACGGGAGGCAGCAGUGGGGAAUUUUGGACAAUGGGCGUAAGCCUGAUCCAGCCAUGCCGCGUGCAGGAUGAAGGCCUUCGGGUUGUAAACUGCUUUUGUACGGAACGAAAAGCCUUCUUUUAAUACAGGAGGGUCAUGACGGUACCGUAAGAAUAAGCACCGGCUAACUACGUG
rnacentral:rRNA from 1 species